rnacentral:rRNA from 1 species
UAAUCCUACGGGGCGCAGCAGUGGGGAAUAUUGCACAAUGGGGGAAACCCUGAUGCAGCGACGCCGCGUGAGCGAAGAAGUAUUUCGGUAUGUAAAGCUCUAUCAGCAGGGAAGAAAAUGACGGUACCUGACUAAGAAGCUCCGGCUAAAUACGUGCCAGCAGCCGCGGUAAUACGUAUGGAGCAAGCGUUAUCCGGAUUUACUGGGUGUAAAGGGAGCGCAGGCGGCUUUGCAAGUCUGAUGUGAAAGGCCGGGGCUCAACCCCGGGACUGCAUUGGAAACUGUAAAGUUAGAGUGCAGGAGGG